AACGAACGCUGGCGGCAGGCUUAACACAUGCAAGUCGAACGAGAUCUUCGGAUCUAGUGGCGCACGGGUGAGUAACGCGUGGGAAUCUACCUUGGAGUCUGGGAUAACAGUUGGAAACGACUGCUAAUACCGGAUACGCCCCCUGGGGGAAAGGUUUACUGCUCCAAGAUGAGCCCGCGUCCAAUUAGGUGGUUGGUGAGGUAAAGGCUCACCAAGCCGACGAUUGGUAGCUGGUCUGAGAGGAUGGCCAGCCACACUGAGACUGAGACACGGCCCAGACUCCUACGGGAGGCAGCAGUGGGGAAUAUUGGACAAUGGGGGCAACCCUGAUCCAGCCAUGCCGCGCGAGUGAUGAAGGCCUUAGGGUUGUAAAGCUCUUUCGCCGGUGACGAUGAUGACGGUAACCGGAGAAGAAGCCCCGGCUAACUUCGUGCCAGCCGCCGCCGUAA
rnacentral:rRNA from 1 species